GGGGACGUAGCUCAUAUGGUAGAGCGCCUGUUUCGCAUACAGGAGGUACGGGGUUCGAUUCCCCGCGUCUCCA